UGAAAAAGAAAUUCCUAGCCCUUUUAAGGGCUUACAAUUCUAAGGGGUCUACCCGAAAAAGUCAUAAUAGAUCAAGUAAGCCUGAGGAAUGUGACUGGGGGCUACAAACAUCAGCUAACAGAACAAAAAGUUUUUACAGUGCUUUCUCAUACAAUGUCUGGGAUUUACAGAUAACACAGGUAGUUUUGGUCAGGGGUUAAUAUUAUUGUUAUUUUAACCACCAGGGCCAGGUGGUGGCGCCGAGGGCGUCUAGCUAUUUAUUUUACUUCUGUUUUUUCCAACUUUUUGCUUUCUCCCUUUUUUCCUGUCUUACAAACUAGGGAAAAAGGGAGGUUGGGGAGAAACUGGGAAGGACAACAGGAGAAGUGGUGGUCUCAUACCAUAUUUCCCCCCUUUGAGCAUUUUCACUUUUUAGUGGGAGUUCUCACUCUCAUCUUUACUUUUUGAGUCUCUCUCUGAGGUAGAACCGUAGUGAUUUAUAUAAUACACCUGUGCUGAAGUUUUCUGAUGAAUCAAAGUAGCAACAAAACCUUUUAUCAUUUGAAAAAACAAGGAUAAUACACAGGGGAGCAGCAAGCAAGUUCCUAUCACUAGCAAUACACCUACAAUGAGGGGUUUAAAUCCUCCUCCCGCUGGAAACCAUUUUCCAAAUAAAGACUCAGAUUAAACUCGUGCCAAAUCUGUAAAGGCACAUGUGCCACCUUUGUCAUGUCCCUGACUAUGUUUUUAACCACCUGUCCUUGAUCAUUUAUUUGUAGGCAGCAAUUGGUUAAGUUAAAUUUUCCACAAACUCCUCCUUCAGCUACUAGCAAGUAGUCUAAGGCCAAUCUAUUCUGAUAGAUAGCAUUCCUCAUUUGGGUUUCUUGCCAAGCUAAAACCGUCAAAGCUCUGCCAGUUUCAUUAGUAAUUAUUUCUAAGACGGCCUGCAACCGUAUGAUCCAAUUGAGCAUGUAGAUGGGGGUUCAGUAUCCCCAUGAGCCAUCUUGUGCCCAUGUGGCAGGCCCAUAAUACUGUAUGAUCCUUUCUGGGGGCCAUUCAUUAUCUUUCCAGUUUCCUAUAGCUAUGCCUUUCUUUUCUCGGGAGGUAUAGACAGGGAAACCUAGCAGCUUACCUGUUUUUAUGGGUAAUAAGAAAAAGGACGGCUUAAUAGUGCCAAUAACACAACUGCCUGCCCAUUUAUUAGGUAACCGAAAGUAGGCUCGGUGCCUACAUAUCUAGUAUAGUCCAGCGGGAACCGUCCAGUCCUGAUGAGAUUCUGGAUGAGCCGAAGCAGUUUUUAAUUUAGAAAAUUUACUAAAUGGAUUCUUUUCAGUGUGGUUUAGGCCCUACUAAGUAAUUGUCUGUGUUGUGCUGUUAUACAACUUCUGUCCUAUACAAUUAAGCUUUCCUACAGGGAUGAUAAAGUCUUUCCCUUCUCUAGCUAUACAGUAUUGUCUAAUAAUUGAGGUUUUAGGACCUAGAAGUUGCUAGCUUCGGCCUUCUGAACUGGAAUUAUAUCAGGAGCUGGAUCAGUAGGCACCAACUCUCGGGCUUCCCAAGGCUAUCUGUCUCCGAUAGUGGUUCCUCCGCGUACAUAACAAGAAGUAACAUUAAGGGAAUGAGCUACAUUUUCUGCUAAUUGGAGAAACAAAUUUUUUGUCUUUUUCAGAAGUUCUGGUGCUAGCACAUUCAGCUCCUCACAAAAGGUUUGAAAUACUGGUUUGGGAGAGCACUUGUGGACCUCCCCUCUAAUUAAAAUGGCAACUUGAGGGUUUAACCCUGUCCUAUUGAUCCCCAGGGUUACACAUUCUCUCUUUUUCCAACGGGGAUCUAGGGGAUUGGUAAUUAUUAGUUGUAGUGGGUUACAGUGACCGGCAGCACAGGAGGGGUUGGCUUCCCCUUCUGAAGAUAAACCGGGUCCUUUUGUUCUUUUUUUAAAACAGAAAGAUUGUUUUAAUUUGCUGUCCUACUUCGGUGACCUGAUGAAUACACUGGGAACAGUCCCCAGUUUGAGUAAGGUCAGUUGAAGCCCUUACUGUAUAAGUCCAAAAUUUAAGAAAAAUGAAUCUCAUGAUGAGCUUCCUCAGGCUUUGGCCAUGCGUGGACCAGUCAGCUUCUGGAUGUGACUGGAGCAGAGCUUGUCUCGUCUUCUUCAGGGUCACUCUGCAAGGGUUGUCUGGGCUUGGUCUUGCCUCCCAGGUUUCAGGCGCUGCAGGUUUUAUAUGGUUGUGUUGGAUCCAUGCUGGGAUUCCUUCUACCUUCACAGCGGUGGGAGUGCUCAGGACGACAGUCUGGGGUCCUUUCCACCGUGGACACAAAGAGGCUACUUUCCAGUCCUUGAUCCACACUUGAUCAUCUG
rnacentral:lncRNA from 1 species